UACGUAGGGGGCAAGCGUUGUCCGGAUUUAUUGGGCGUAAAGAGCGUGUAGGCGGCCAUGCAGGUCUGCUGUGAAAACUCGAGGCUCAACCUCGAGCUGUCGGUGGAAACCGUGUGGCUAGAGUCCGGAAGAGGAGAGUGGAAUUCCCGGUGUAGCGGUGAAAUGCGCAGAUAUCGGGAAGAACACCCGUGGCGAAGGCGGCUCUCUGGGACGGUACUGACGCUGAGACGCGAAAGCGUGGGGAGCAAACAGG
rnacentral:rRNA from 1 species